rnacentral:tRNA from 1 species
GCCUGGGUGGCUCAGUGGUUGAGCAUCUGACUUUGGCUCACGUCGUGAUCCUGGAGUCCUGGGAUCGAGUCCCACAUCAGGCU